UGAGGAAUAUUGGGCAAUGCCCGCAAGGGUGACCCAGCAACGACGCGUGGAGGAUGAAUGUCGUAAGAUUGUAAACUCCUGUUAGAGGGGAAGAAUAGUACCGGUUGGACCGGUAUAUGACUGUACCCUCAGAGAAAGCCCCGGCUAACUACGUGCCAGCAGCCGCGGUAAUACGUAGGGGGCAAGCGUUGUCCGGAUUUACUGGGUGUAAAGGGCGCGCAGGCGGGAUAAAAAGUCAGUGGUGAAAUCCUACAGCUUAACUGUAGAACUGCCUUUGAUACUUUUAUUCUUGAGUUCGGGAGAGAGAGACGGAAUUCCAGGUGUAGUGGUGAAAUACGUAGAUAUCUGGAAGAACACCAGUUGCGAAGGCGGUCUCUUGGUCCGACACUGACGCUGAGGCGCGAAAGCGUGGGGAGCAAACA
rnacentral:rRNA from 1 species